rnacentral:rRNA from 1 species
GACGAACCGUGCGAAUGUUGUUCGGAAUUACUGGGCGUAAAGUGUGCGCAGGCGGCCGCGCAAGUCGAGUGUGAAAUCCCCGAGCUUAACUUGGGAAUUGCGCUCGAAACUACGUGGCUGGAGUGUGGCAGAGGAAGGUGGAAUUCCACGUGUAGCGGUGAAAUGCGUAGAUAUGUGGAGGAACACCGAUGGCGAAGGCAGCCUUCUGGGCCAACACUGACGCUCAUGCACGAAAGCGUGGGGAGCAAACAGG